CUCUGAGCUUCCUUGAUGGGCUCCUGCCACCGCAAACCUGAACUGGAAUAAGAAGGUUGCAGAAGCUUCUGCUAUGCAAUGCGUACACCUCUCCGGAUCUAUUUUCACCAUCCUCCCCUGCCACCAGAUCAAUAAUUAACAUCAGGACAUUCCUAUGUUAUGUAUUUAUUUUCCUCCAUAGAGAAAUCAAAAUACUCCAGUUGUGGACCAUUCUUUUAUCUGAGAUCCCUCCUCUUUUUGGUUGAAAAACUAACAACAACGACGAAAAGAGUAUCUUUUUUAAAAAAUCUUUUGGAAGACUAGAAAAAUAUGCUAUGAAAAAUAUUAAUAACAACAAACUCAUCAAAACAAUCUUGAAAACACCAAGGGAACACAGAAGUUCAAACUUACCGCCUUUGAAAAGACUUCUGAAAUGAGGGUGUAAUAAUAGACUCCUAUUGCUGGGGUGACUCAUGGGAGGAGUGUUUAUGGAACUACAGAGGAAAGAAGCUAGUGAAUCAAUGCUUCCUCGGUUGAAGCCAAAGGUCAGAAGCCUUUGCUCUUCUUCAAAGGACCCACAGCAGUGAGGAUGAAGGCCCCUGCGUAGAAGAUGCAUUAUUCAUAAAGAGAUAAAUCUUCCAGUCAUCAAAAAGAGAAGCUGGGCCGAAAGAAAACUUAACAAAUACGCAUUAUAUCAUGUAUCUUCUUAAACGUCUAUUUAAAAAAAAAUCAUUUCUCUAGUCCUUUUUACAUUUCUGGAAUGGAAAUCAUGGCAAAAUGUUUCAAAUAAUUUACUCGUUUGGGAAAACCGUAGAAUAGGGUUACAACUUCUAUUAGCCAUCUAAAAAUGGGUACAUUUUGGACAUGCGUAGAUUCAGGGUAGAAGGGAAUUUAGGAUAAGAGAACAAAAAGAGCAAAAUCUAAGAUACUAAGUGAUGUAAAAGAACACUGAAUACAUUAUUUUGACUGAGGUAACUGGAGAUGAAAGGGAAUGCUAAAAAAUAUGGCUGGAAAUGCAGAUUGCCAUAAGAACAAGUAAAGAUUAUAAGGAUAGUCUACAGAAUUUGGUUGUGACACUACAGGCUGACAGAAAAUAAUGAGAAUAUUCAAACAAGUGAAUUAAAUGGUAAUAGUCAUGCUUCAAAAAGUUAAGUCUGUCAGAUGAGUAAAUGUUAAAAUGGAAAUGAGAGAGAAUGAAGGUAGAAAGAUCAGUUAGGAAACUACAAGAAGAUUUAGUUCCAACAAUGAAGUCCAGGAUGAGAAAGAUGGAAAUGGGAAUAAAAAGAAAUUAUCCCCACAGUGCUUGCAGAGGCCUCUUUGCUCAUGUUUCCUCGCCUUAGAAUGAAAUCUUUACGUGACUGGUUCUUUCCCAGCAUCCACGUUUUAUCUCAAAUGUUGUCUUGAAAAGGCUUUUUCUUACAACUGCCAUCACAACUUUCAUUUGAUACAAACUGCCCUAUUGGAUUGAAUUUGUAGUAACUACCAUUUUCUGAAAUGAUCUUGCUUCUUCAGGUGUUGUUUAUUUACCAGCCUUCUCCCCUGAAACCACUCACUACAAUAUAAGUGUCACGGAACUAGGGUCCUUUUUUACUUUUAUUCACUUCACAUCCACAAUGUGUUGAAGAGUCCUUGGGAUACUCUAGCACUCAGCAAAUUAUGUUGAAGAAUAAAUGAAAGAAUGAAUAGCAAGUGUCAAUAAGUGAUAGUUGAAUAAAUGGAGAAAUCACUGGGAUGAAUAAGGUCACUUGAGCUCAUGAGUCUUACAUCCUAACAAAUUUGUUUAUGAUCUAUCCAACAAAAAGGAGUUGUCAACAGAAGUUUUAAAAGAGGAAUUUUUGAAUGUUUGUUUUACCAAUGUUGUUGUUUUACCUGAAAUUAGGGUUGUAGAAUUUAAAAUAAAUUUUGAACUAUAAUUGUGUCUGUAUUUGGUUAGGGAAAUCACCAGUUUUUAUAACCUGUGUAAAUUGCUUACCUUGCUUUAACAUCCAGUUUUCUUAUCUAUAAAAUAUGAAUAAUAUUGUUUUAAGUAUUAAGUAUACUUCACUUUUUAAGUAUUAAAUACGGUAAUUCAUGUGAAGUGUUGAGUGAAGUGAUUGGAGCAUCAUGACUUCUGAUUAUACAUUAGCUAUUAUGAAAACUAUUAUUAGUCACAGUGCAAUGGUUAAAAGAACAGAUUUGGGGGCCGGGCACGGUGGCUCAAGCCUGUAAUCCCAGCACUUUGGGAGGCCGAGA